rnacentral:rRNA from 1 species
GGAUGCGAUCAUACCAACACUAAAGGACCGGAUCCCAUCAGAACUCUGAAGUUAAGCGUGCUUGGGCGAGAGUAGAACUAGGAUGGGUGACCUCCUGGGAAGUCCUCUUGUUGCACUCC